rnacentral:rRNA from 1 species
AGUGAACGCUGGCGGCGUGCUUAACACAUGCAAGUCGAACGCGAAAGGGUAGCAAUACCCCGGUAGAGUGGCGAACGGGUGAGUAAAAUGUGAGUAAUCUGCCUUUGAGAGGGGGAUAACCUGGCGAAAGCCGGGCUAAUACCCCAUGAAGUUUGGUUGUUUUCGGGCGAUUAGACCAAAGGAUGGCCUCUAUUUAUAAGCUAUCGCUUGAAGAGGAGCUCACAUCCUAUCACGCUUGUUGGUGAGGUAAAGGCUCACCAAGGCGACGACGGGUAGCCGGCCUGAGAGGGUGUCCGGCCACACUGGAACUGAGAUACGGUCCAGACUCCUACGGGAGGCAGCAGUGGGGAAUUUUUCGCAAUGGGCGCAAGCCUGACGAAGCAACGCCGCGUGGAGGAUGAAGGCCCUAGCGGUUGUAAACUCCUGUCUAGCGGGACGAAGGUAUGGCAGUCGAAUAGACUGCGAUAUUGACUGUACCGCUGGAGGAAGC